GGACCUACAUCCAAGAUUGCUCUAUCCAGCCAAGCUUUCAUUUAGAAUGGAAGGGCAGAUGAAGAGCUUUCCAGACAAGAAACAGCUAAAGGAGUUAGUUAACACAAAACCAGUACUGCAAAAAAAGGUAGAGGGCUUGCUUAAAAAGAAAA